rnacentral:misc_RNA from 1 species
GGUUGCAAUAUCUAUGGUCUUCUUCAUUGCUGCAACGAUAUUCACUCUUCUUAAGCUAUGUGGUAAGGUUUUUACUGUAUUCUAGUGACAUGCUUUCUAUUAGUUGCAAGUGUUCUCAAUUUGCAUAAUUUAAUUCUAUUGUACUUGCUUGAGAUCCAAUGCAUAUACUUUGCGGGAGUUUUGGACUUGAGUUUGUUGUCUAACUAAUUUUAUUUUCCAUUCUUAACUAAGAAGGCAUUAAGAGAAUCAUGGCCUGAUUAAAGAAAGUGAAUUUAGAGAGAUGCACAAGAAGAAGGUGGUGUCCUGUUAAACUGUAUAAAAGUAUCCCCAAAAACCUUUUUGUUUUAUACUUUUUGAGUUGAAAUAAGAGAUAAAAUUAUAGAAAAGAUAAUAAAUUAUGGCUGUUGCCAACAGCUGGUGAGCCAAAAAUGAUUGGUGGUGAUCAGUACACUAAUAUAUAUGUUUCUAUGUUGUUCUUCUCUAGUUUUCUUUUCUUGAAUUUGCAAAAUUUCAGAAAACACUUUUCUGUAGUGGGUCCAUUUAAGUCUUAGGUUGAUGAAAAAUAUAUAUAUUUUUUUAAUCCUUAUAAGGGCCAAAUAGAUGCCACAGAAACCAUAUUUAAAAGCAUUUAUAGACCUUUUCACCAAUGUGCUGACAACAUUGAUCACAUGUACUUGAUUGACACACAAAUGAAUAGAAAAAUAUAAAAAAUAAAAGCACAAUCCCAUCAAUGUCAAUGUGCUUAACCACAUGUUUUUUUUUUCUUUUUUUGAAAAUUUUCCUUUAAAUUAAAUGUUAAUGUGGCUCACAAGUGUGUUCUGCAGCUUUAGGCAUAUCUAUGAUUGUAUAAAAAUUUUAGAUUUUCUCUACAUCAACAAUAUAGCUUUAUAAUUACAUUCUCGUAACAUUUUUCUAUAUGCAGGUGAUGUGUUAGCUCUUGGAUGGUGGGACUUGUUUAUAAAUUAUGGAAUUGCAGAGUGCUUCGCCUUUCUUGUUUGUACAAAGUGGUACAAUCCAGCAAUUCAUAGGGAUUCACAUAUUGGAGAAUCUGGUUCUUCAAUGACCAUCGGAGAUAUCGACUGGAAUAGAGGCUUGGUAGUUUCUUCAGAUGAAAACCGACAUCAGAACAGCAGAAUAUGCAACCUGCAGGACAUUGGUGGACAUUUUAUGAAAAUUCCUUUUAUUGGUUUUCAGAUCAUGCUUUUUAUGCACUUGGAGGGUACACCACCUAGUGCUAAACAUAUCCCAUUUCCAGUUCUUUUUGCUCCACUUUUUUUGGUGCAAGGAGCUGGGGUUCUGUUUGCUGCAUAUAGAUUGGUGGAGAAAUUUGUUAUUUUAUUGCGUGGUGGAGCUAGUUCUAGUAUAAACUUCUCCAUUGUAUCAAAAGCUCAUGAUUUUCUUGGAUUUUUGCACCAUGGAUCGAGGUAAUGUUUUUCUUUGGUAAUUUAGAGCUUCAAUUUUCUCUAGGUAAUCUCUUCUGAACCUGCACCACCUAGGAUUAAAAUGCUAUAAAUCUAGAAAUUAAUUGCUUAUGGUUCAUUCUUGUUGGCAGGUUGUUGGGUUGGUGGUCAAUUGAUGAAGGAAGUAAAGAGGAGCAGGCUAGACUAUAUUAUGCUGGAGGUUCAGGGUAUGUUUUUGUAUUCAAGUGAUCAUCUGUCUGUGCACUUAUUUAAGCAAUGAGGAGAUCUGUGCAUUAGCAAGUAUAAUCACUAGGACUGUGCACACACACCUUGAUUUUAUCACAUACAGAUGCAUGCACAUUGUGUUACUGAAAUCUACAAGCAACAAGCAGAUUAACAUUUUAGCAAAGUAUCUUAUAUCCUGCUUCAUGAUUUGAAUGUGUGUGUCAUAAUGAUCAAUUGCACCCAAUUGAUCUUUAGUAAAUUUUCAUGUUUUCAAGUCACUUUUGUAAUAUAUUGUAAUGUGUUUUAGACUGCGAAGUUAGUCUUAAGUUAUACAUGUAUAUAUUUCUGACCCUCCUUUUAUUCUUAUCAUUUAGCUACAAUACAUUCUCACCAGAUACCGUGAAGAGGAUGCCCAAAUCUGCACUUGUUGAGGAGGUUUAUUUGCAUUGUUCUCUCCAUAUUUUAGCCAUUUUUUGUGUUACUUCAUAUGGUCCCUUCACUUGAAGCUUGAGAAAAUUUAAAUCUAAAUUCUUUCCCUAAUAGAUUUGGAGACUGCAAGCUGCAUUAGGUGAGCAAACAGAAAUUACAAAGUUUAGCCAGCAGGAGUGUGAAAGACUUCAAAAUGUAUUAAUUCUAGAUAAGAGAUAGCUUGUUGUCUGUAAUGUUCUUUUCAAUCCUUUUGAUGCUCAUUCACUGACUUGAUGAAUCUAUCAGGAAAAAAUCCUGUGCAGAGUUUGCUUUGUGGAACAAAUUAAUGUAGUCCUGCUUCCAUGCAGGCAUCACGUCCUUUGCAGGUAUGUGGAUCUGCCCUUAUCCUGCAAAUAUUCUCUGUUGUUACAUAUGGUAGUCCAUUAUAAAAACGUUGUGAAAUAUUUUGUUCUAUUGGAGAAAGCCAGCUUUAUGCGUGAAUUCCAUUAGAUUAUUGCUUCUCAACAAAAAUUUUGGAGCUCCAGUCAUAGGCAGAGCAAGGUGGUCAAAGGGAGAUAAAAUUUUCCCGCACUAUUUUUUUUUUUUAAGAUUUCCCAAUAUAUUUCCAUGUUAUAAUUAGUGGAAUUUCAAUUUUAUAAAAUGUUGAUCAUUUUGCUAAUACUUUUAUCAAUUCAGUACUUGCUGUGAGAAGUGUAAAAAGUGCCCAAUCUGUCGUGUUGUGAUUGAAGAACGAUUGGAUGUAUAUGAUGUGUAGCUCCAGUAAAUCCACAAGAUGGCUAGAAAGCUUCCUUGCUGCUGCGUGUUUUAGAUGAAGCGUGCAAAGAGAAGAUGGCAAUUGUGGGGGACCGUUUGGUAGCACAUUGCAGCCACUUUCAGUUGUGCAAAAUAUCAGUUUGUGAAGUUGUCCUUGAUGCUGAGCUUGCAUCGAUUCAUCAUGUGGCUUCUUCCUGUGGGAUAUUGAAAGUUUCAACAACAGAACUUUCAAAGUAAAAUAUAAUCAUCCAUCUUUUGUCCAUCUCUUCUUAUUGUACAGCCCAUUAUCAGUGCCAUUAAUACAAGAUGAUUUCUUUUGAUAAAUUGUGAGAGUGGUACAGUGGUGCCCAAUUGAAUAGGAUUACAGCACCCACUCUGGCCUAGAAUCUUUAUUGUAGUGCUUUGUCUCUAUCAAGAAAAUGAAUAAUUCAGUUCCUACAAUGUCGUGGGUUGAAGAGUUGAAUAAAUUAAAGGGA